AUCCAACUGACGAGUCCUGAAUGGGACGAAAUGCUCUUCAAACUGGAU
rfam:Schistosoma haematobium scaffold1330_3, whole genome shotgun sequence.